rnacentral:rRNA from 1 species
UACGUAGGGGGCGAGCGUUGUCCGGAUUUAUUGGGCGUAAAGAGCGUGUAGGCGGCCAGGUAGGUCUGCUGUGAAAACUCGAGGCUCAACCUCGAGACGUCGGCGGAAACCAUCUGGCUAGAGUCCGGAAGAGGAGAGUGGAAUUCCUGGUGUAGCGGUGAAAUGACGCAGAUAUCAGGAAGAACACCCGUGGCGAAGGCGGCUCUCUGGGACGGUACUGACGCUGAGACGCGAAAGCGUGGGGAGCGAACAGG